GAAGUUGGGGAGGGCUUCUGGAGGUCAUGACUUUUAACUGAAUGAGAGAGAGAGAGAGAGAGAGAGAGAGAGAGAGAGAGAGAGAGAGAGAGAGAGAACAGAAGGACAGUGUAGGGUGGACAAGCACUUGUUGUUUGGCCCUGGCACUCGUGUGGAAUUUGAAUCACACUAGCAGUGUGCAUUCAUAAUCUAACUGUGAUAAAUGCUUCAGCAACUCAGUAAGAUCAGCGUUAGAAAGAGACCUCAAAGGAUGAAGAAAACUUACAAGAUGAAGCCAUUAUUCAGAGUAGAGAGAGACCAAGCUCUAAGCUCUCCGUGACCUUGCUCGGACUCUCACUAGCCUUCCUGGGGGAGUUGCUUCGACUUGCCAGAGGGAAGACUGGGAGUCCCAGAGGCUAGUGAGCCCGUGCAAGGCUACCCAGCCAGUGGGAACAGAGAUGACACGGGUUUCCCAAACCCUAGUCCAGGGUAGGUGUGGCCUCUCUAAUUGAUGGGAGAAGCGCGAGGAGGGGGGUUGGGGGAGGAAAGCAGUGGCAACCUCAGCGUUGAUGUUCAGUCCUGGGUUUCAGCUUCCUCUUCUACUGCCUGUAUCUAUUUCCCUCUUCUACUGACUGUGUCUAUUCCUUACUCACAAACAAGCAGCCACAUUGACCUGAGCAAUUAUGUACAAAGAACCAUUCAGAACAAAAGCCCAGACCCACAGGAGAUGCUGCUUGGGAGAACAUGAACCCACGGCUGCCUGAAGUUCUCCGCUCCCAGCCCUACCCUUUCCUUCUCCUCCAUGUGGAUUGUAUAAGCAAGACCAGAACUUUAAAACUAGACUAUGUGAAGCCUCCUUUCAGAGUCCAGGCAUCUGCUUCCAGGUCUGGGGAAGGCUGGGUGUGAGAAAAGAGGGCUGGCUACCAAGUGAAAGGGAUCCGGGGGCCUCCUGUUGGAAAGCUUAGGGAUGCUACAGCAAGGUAGGAGAGUCCGGUGACUCAGCUCUGAACCUUCCAUUGACCUAUGUCUUUGAACAUCUCUAGCUACUGAUGCUGUUGCUGGGAGACACAGACCACCUGAUGCAGGACUACAGACUCACAUCUUGGCCUUGAUUCUGGUCCUGUUCUCUCUCCACUUCCUGAUCUGCCAGUAUGUGAGUGAUCUAUGCUGCAGCUCCCAGUACCAUGGAUUCUGAAACACCAACCAUCACUCCUUGUUCACCACGAUGAACUGUAUUGAAUGAACCAUGAACUAAAAUAAACCUCUCUCCAUUGAAGUUGCUUCUCUUAGGUAUUUAGUCCUAGCAAUGUAAAAGUAACUAAGAUGGAUGGAUGGAUAGACAAACGGACAGACAGAUGAAUGAUAGGAAGAUAGAUGAUAGUUGAUAUGUGAGAGAUAAAUGAUAGGUCUAUAUUUUCCAUGUCUCUAUCUAGCAAUCAUAUUUUUAGCAGCUAUCUAAGUAUAUAAAUCAUAUGUGUGUGUCUAUCAUUGAAUAACACUAAGGACAUGCCAAGUCCAAAAUCUAUAGAUCUGAAGCUGGGAAUUCAGUCAAAAAUGUGAUACAAGAAUUUUGAGGCAGGACUGCUUCUUGCCUCAGAAACCUAUUUGCUCAUAAGGCCUUCAGAAGACUAGCUCAGGGCUACUACUCAUAUCAUCAAAGAUAGUAUCCCUUGCUUAAAGUCACUGGUUACAGAUGUCAGUGCCAUUGCCAGAGCCAAAGUUAUGUUUUAAGUUUUAAUUACUGUGCCUAAGAGAUCCACCGAACAGAAAUGUUCUGACCUAUAAGCCCCUUGCCCAAGAUCAGAUACUUUCUGAAGUGCUAGAGGCUGUCGUUUAUAGGCCAUAACAAGCUAUGUUUUCAUUUCCCUAAACAAGUUUGCUCGACCCAACUACACCGGAUGUGCUUGCUCACAUGUGGGUGGGAGGCAGGCAGGAAAGAUGUCAGGAUGCAUGCUUGCCCCUGAUUGGACAUGAUGGGAACUGUGGUGAAUUCACGUGGGGUUUCCCCCAUUUCCCUGGGAAAUGGAUGUGGCUGGAGUCAAUCAAGCUAGCAGAUAUCUAAUUAAAGCUUGC
rnacentral:lncRNA from 1 species